CCUACGGGAGGCAGCAGUGAGGAAUAUUGGUCAAUGGUCGGGAGACUGAACCAGCCAAGCCGCGUGAGGGAUGAAGGUACAGAGUAUCGUAAACCUCUUUUGUCAGGGAACAAAGGCGGGGACGUGUCCCCGGCUGAGUGUACCUGCAGAAAAAGCAUCGGCUAACUCCGUGCCAGCAGCCGCGGUAAUACGGAGGAUGCGAGCGUUAUCCGGAUUUAUUGGGUUUAAAGGGUGCGCGGGCGGUCUGUUAAGUCAGCGGUCAAAGCCCGGGGCUCAACCCCGGCCCGCCGUUGAAACUGGCAGUCUCGAGUGGGAGAGAAGUAUGCGGAAUGCGCGGUGUAGCGGUGAAAUGCAUAGAUAUCGCGCAGAACUCCGAUUGCGAAGGCAGCAUGCCGGCUCCACACUGACGCUGAGGCACGAAAGCGUGGGUAUCGAACAGGAUUAGAUACCCUGGUAGUC
rnacentral:rRNA from 1 species